CGGCACAAACAUCAUAAUCUGAAAAAGAAAAGUGUGAACGCACAUCAACCAGAAGACGAGUUGGUUAACUCAGCCCUGGCCUAGAAGAGACUUUCUGAGCUGUACCCUGCUCAAGGUCAAUAUGAAGUGUGAACAGCUCCAGUCACGAGAGCAUUAACUUUUUCAAGCCCUGUGGCAGCUUCUAUGCUGACAGAUAAAAUCUCCUUGGCCACAGAGGGAGCCUGACUCUGCUGUGCAGCAUAUGAAGGUUAAACAGGUGGGCUGUCAGGCACUGAUAAAGACAAGGUUGCUAUGACAGGCUCAUGCCAUUCUCACGAUGACCUGGAAAACUGCCCUGGCUAACUAGUCCUUCCCAUAAGCAUGAUUUCAGGCCUGCUUUGCCUCUAUGGAUCAACCUCACAAACUAUCUCUAGUUAAAUAUGUUAUCCUUAACUAAGAAUCAGCUCUAGGCAACCAAAUUCUGUGCUCCUUUUGCUCAAGAGCAAGGGCUCAGCAUGGCCGGCAAAGAGCUGCCUUGUUCUUUGAUCACCAUCACUGAGGAGCAGCCAGGGAAAAGAGGGAAAAGGCAGAGAGGCUAAGUAUCUGUGUUGACUAUAGUGCCCAACAAGCCUUGCUUCCAGAAGCUGUGGUUCCCAGUCUCCCCUGCCAUCCCUGCUUCCCUGGGCCUCCUUUUCUAACUCUUUUAGCUGAUUGCUUUCACUUUCACCUCCACAUCUCUAAAUAGUCAGCUUGCAUUGCUUUUCUGUUAUUUUAAACACUUCUUAUUGGUUUCCAGCUAUGGGGAAGAGAUGCACUUUAGCUUUUUCACUGUUUUCCAUCCUCAACCCUCUAAGCACACCACACUUUCUAUUCCCUCCAUCUGGCCAAUAAUUUUGUUAAAAUUUUAGUUCAAUAAAUCUUUAGCAUUUGUAUUACAAUGACAACAUAAAAGCUAUUAUUUACUGAGUGUAGAAGUAUAGUCUAAUUACUUAUCCUUUCUUAAGAGAACUUUUGAACUUCCCUGGAGUUAAGAGUACUAUCUUAUGUAUUUUGGGGGUGUCAGUUACUGAACUUUGUCUAUCAGCUUCAAAUUCGUCCAACCUAGCUCCCUGAGUUACUUUAUGACAUGAGACUUUGGCAACCAUAUUUCUUCUUGCCAGUUACCAGCCUACUAUGUGCUGAUGUAAGGGAUGCACGGCCUUCCUAUAAUGUAUGAUGUCUCUAAUGUAUGUAGUCCAUUCAUAAGCUCUUUGAAUUUAGUUUUACUGUAACUGAUCUGGCUGGUAUGUUCCAAUGUCAGUUAAGACCUUGUUCUUGGGUUAUCUAGUGUGUCCAGAGACAUGUCCAAAUCGUUGCCUGAGAAAGUAAGUCAUCUGGAACUCAAGGGAAGGGAAAAAGGCUUAGUGUUUGGACAUUCAGUGUGUAAGCAUUUACCGAGUGUCUCCAUUUUCAGUGUUAGACCCUUACUUUCAACUCUGACUGUCCUCCCUGAAUCUCGAGAUCCCCUGGUGUACCCCUCAGAGUCUUGUAUCUUCUGCCUGGUUGUGGACGGGCAAUAUUCUGCCUAUGCUCUAUACAGGACAAGACCUGAGAGUAUAACCUCUUCUUAGACUAUUGGUCAAUCCUUCUGUUUUGAUACCAUUUUCACCCCCAUUUCUGUUUUUGUUUUGUUUUAUUUUUUGAUUUGGUAUAAACUCAGCAGCUUCUUAGUUCUCCCUUGUAUUGGCCAACAGCUUACCCUUCCCAUUCUGCUAAGUAUUUACCACUUCCUGAUCUGUUUUCCAGCUUCCAAGGUCUUCCUUUCUUCUUGACUUUGUGGUAUUAUUCUUUUAUUUUUUGAUUUUUUUCCAUUUUGAAGGGUUUCUGGAGGAAGUAAAGUUAAUGGAUUUAUUCAGCCCUCCAUUUUUUAUGCUGUUUUUCUAAGGUGCUAUCAACUUUCUGUCCACAUAGCUUUUAUCUUUUAAAUGUAUCUAUUUUUUAUGCUUUGUGUCCUAUUUCUUCUGCCAGCAUUCUAAUGCAGAUCUUCAGACAUUCCCACCUACAUAGGAUUCUCAUCCCAAGAUAUUGCACCUUUAAAUGCAUUCAACAUUACACUUUCUGACUACCCUCCCUAAUGCAUAGUGCUGUGUAUGUCACCUCUUGCUCCAAAAAUUCUAAGCUCUAUAUAGGUUGAACAUACCUAAUCUGAAAAUCUGAAAUCCAAAACUCUUUGAGCAUUUCAGAUUUUCGGAUUAGGGAUGCUUAACUAGUAAACUCUACACAAAUAUUCCCAAAUCCCCAAACAGCAUAACAUGUCAGGUCCCAAGCACUUUAUAUAAGGGCUACUGAACAUAUACUAAUCAACACCUACCUCAAUGGUCCAUUCUUGCAUUUGAGGUCUGGCAUUAUAUUCCUUGAGAUUUUUCUACCCGUAAAACUCUUCUAUGAGGUCCUUUGACUCCAGAAACCCAAACUCUCUUCUUCAUCCUUGAUCAGAACCAUCUUUUCUUACUUCUAUGCUUUUGUCUAUUAUUUUCACCUCUAGUAAUGUCCAAUUAACACUUCUACCUGUGCUCUCACACUUCAUAAUUACUGGUAUCCUACCUAGUUUUCAAGUACCACUGUAAAUGUCCCCCACCCCACUGGAAGGCUUCCUCGAUCUCCCCAGUAAUGUCUGCUUGGUCCUCUCCACACUCACAGGACUUCAUCCCCUCAUUUAUGGAAUGCCUACCCUCUCAAUUUGCUGCUAUCUGGGGUUCUUUAAGCCCCUAUUUCCUAAAAUACUGACAACAGUAAUACCUACUUCAUGGUGCUUUUACAAAGAUGAAAUUAUGUACACACAACUUCAAAUUUAAAUUUUUUGAAUUUAAAAUUUUGAGACAGGGUCUUGCUAAGUCUCUUACUUUUCUGUUGUGUUCCUGCUAGUUCUUAAGAUUAUUUGGCUACCUGGAAGGGACUAUGUCCCCUGGAGUAACCAGCACCCUGGCCUCCCCAUGAUUUAUGUUCAAUUCAUUACUGUGGGGCUAGAAUAAAUCAGAUUAUCCUAUCACCUGGCCAAUCAAGAGAUCAUUUACAGCAGGGGUGGGAAAACUUUUUCUGGAAAGGAGGCAGAUCAUAUCUUAGCUUUGUAGGCCUCUGUUGCAAUUACUAAACUCUACUGUUGUCAUCCAAAAGCAGCCACAGACAAUGAGUAAGCAUGGCUGUGUUGCAAUACAACUUCAUUUUCAGAAUCCAUGUGGUGGGACAGAUGUGACUCACAGGCUGUAGUUCACUACCCAUCUGUUACUUAGAGUAACAAAUAUGAGGAAGCAACACUUCUAAAAAUUUCAAUUCUCAAUCAUCAGUUAGUGCCUAUCUGUUUAGAAACUCUAGUGUCUUUCUGCAAUCUAUGAUGGUAAUUUUAUGAGUCUGGGGCAAGGUUCACCAGAAAGAUGUACAUGCUGUGUAUCAGUGUUCAAUAUGUUGUGCAAUUUCUCCCAUAAUCAGGAUUCACAGGACCAGGAAUCAUGGGGUAAAAAUGGGAGUGGCACCGCUCACAACUGCCCCUACUGAUCCACUAGCAAAAUGUUUGCUUUUGGUUCCCGUAACUUUACACAUAGUUGGAAAAGGAGGAACACUGCUACCAGGAGAGUGAAUAAUAAUUCACUGAACAGUGAUCUGGCCACUGGGCUCCUCAUGCAUCUGCAUCACCUGGCAAAAAGGCAGUCGCUGUGGUGGGGUGAUUGUAUCUAACAAGGGGAAACUACUGUUACUCCACGAUAGAGGUAAGGACAAGUGUGUCUGGAAUACAAGGAACACUGGAGGGAGUCUUUGUGUUACUAUGUUCCGAAACUAAAGUCAGUAGAAAACUAUAAUAAAAUCUCCACUCAGGCAGGACUAAAGUCUUAGACACUGUGGGAAGGAAGGUUUGGGUUACCUGACCAAGAAAAGAGCUACGACCAGGUGAGGUACUUGCUGAGGGGAAAGGGAAUAGGGCUGGUUAGUGGAAGAAGGUAGUUAUAAAUAGCAGCAAUGACUAUAUGACCAGUUGCAGAAAAAAAGAACUUUGUCAUGAAUAUUUAUUUUUUAUGAAUGUUUGCACAUAUGUAAAUAUCCUUGUUUUCCCCUUACAUCAUAAGAUGUAUUAACUUUAUAUAAAUACUGUCAAUUUUAACACAGUAGUUAAAUUAUAACAUAUCAAGGACAAAAACAAACAUCAUGUUGCAUCGUCUUCUAGGGAAAGGGUUAGUGCAUUUUUACAUGGGGCAUUUCCAUCAUGCGGGGGGGAUUAUGACCUUGUUAUGGUCUUUACUUGAGAUCAAGUAAGGCUUAAGAUAUGUACAGAUGCCAAGUUGACAAAGGGUAGAUCUGUGAUGUUCAUUUUAUGCAUCAACUUGGCUAGGUCAAAGUUCCCAGAUAUUUGGCCAAUAUACAGAUUACUAGAUGUUUCUGUGUGGGACUGACUUGAUUGACAGACUGAUUGUGGUACCAGGAAUUGAACUCAGUGUUUUCACACUGAGCUACAUUCCCAGUCCAUUUUUAAAAUUUUGAGACAAGGUCUUGUUAAGUCACUAAAUUGCCCAGGUUUUUCUUGAGCUUGAGAUCCUUCUGCCUCAGCUUCCUAGAAUGCUGGGAUUAUAGGCAUGUGUCAUACCUGGCUGUGUAGGUAUUUUUCAAAUGAGAUUAACAUUUAAAUCAGUAGAUAUUUGGUAAAGCAGAUUGUGCUCCCUAAAUGAGGCCUCACCCCAUGAGCUGAAAGCGUAAAAGAGAAAAGACUGACUUCCUUUGAUGAAGAGGGAAUUCUGUCAGGAGACUGCCUUUGGACUUGAACAGCAGCAUCAACUAUUCUGUGUCUCCAGACUACCAGCUUAUCUGAAGAUCUUGGAUUUGAACUUCUACAAUCCCAUAAGCCAAUCUCCUAAAAUAAAUCUAAAAAUUUG